GACGAGCCACACUAACGUUAUUCGGAAUUACUGGGCUUAAAGGGUGCGUAGGCGGUGCGGAAAGUUGGGUGUGAAAUCCCUCGGCUCAACCGAGGAACUGCGCCCAAAACUACCGCACUAGAGGAAGAUAGAGGUGAGCGGAACUUACGGUGGAGCGGUGAAAUGCGUUGAUAUCGUAAGGAACACCCGUGGCGAAAGCGGCUCACUGGGUCUUUUCUGACGCUGAUGCACGAAAGCUAGGGGAGCAAACGGG
rnacentral:rRNA from 1 species